UACGAAGGGGGCUAGCGUUGCUCGGAAUCACUGGGCGUAAAGGGUGCGUAGGCGGGUUUUUAAGUCAGAGGUGAAAUCCUGGAGCUCAACUCCAGAACUGCCUUUGACACUGAGAAUCUUGAGUAUGGGAGAGGUGAGUGGAACUGCGAGUGUAGAGGUGAAAUUCGUAGAUAUUCGCAAGAACACCAGUGGCGAAGGCGGCUCACUGGCCCGGUACUGACGCUGAGGUGCGAAAGCGUGGGGAGCAAACAGGG
rnacentral:rRNA from 1 species